GACGAACGCUGGCGGCGUGCUUAACACAUGCAAGUCGAACGGAAAGGCCCCUUUGGGGGUACUCGAGUGGCGAACGGGUGAGUAACACGUGAGUAACCUGCCCUUGACUUCGGGAUAACUUCAGGAAACUGGGGCUAAUACCGGAUAGGAAUCCUUGCUGCAUGGUGGGGGUUGGAAAGCUUCGGCGGUUUUGGAUGGACUCGCGGCUUAUCAGCUUGUUGGUGGGGUAGUGGCUUACCAAGGCUUUGACGGGUAGCCGGCCUGGGAGGGCGACCGGCCACAUUGGGACUGAGAUGCGGCCCAGACUCCUACGGGAGGCAGCAGUGGGGAAGAUUGCACAAUGGGCGGAAGCCUGAUGCAGCAACGCCGCGUGCGGGAUGACGGCCUUCGGGUUGUAAACCGCUUUCAGCAGGGGCGAAGCUUGUGGUGACGGUACCUGCAGAAGAAGCACCGGCUAACUACGUG
rnacentral:rRNA from 1 species